CUGUAAGCCGUUGAAGGUGAAUCGUAAGGUUUGCUGGAGGUAUCAGAAGUGCGAAUGCUGACAUGAGUAACGACAAAGGGGGUGAAAAACCUCCUCGCCGGAAGACCAAGGGUUCCUGUCCAACGUUAAUCGGGGCAGGGUGAGUCGACCCCUAAGGUGAGGCCGAAAGGCGUAAUCGAUGGGAAACGGGUUAAUAUUCCCGUACUUCUGACUAUUGCGAUGGGGGGACGGAGAAGGCUAGGUGGGCCAGGCGACGGUUGUCCUGGUUCAAGUGCGUAGGCUUGAGAGUUAGGUAAAUCCGGCUCUCUCUAAGGCUGAGACACGACGUCGAGCUACUACGGUAGUGAAGUCAUUGAUGCCAUGCUUCCAGGAAAAGCCUCUAAGCUUCAGAUAGUCAGGAAUCGUACCCCAAACCGACACAGGUGGUCGGGUAGAGAAUACCAAGGCGCUUGAGAGAACUCGGGUGAAGGAACUAGGCAAAAUGGUACCGUAACUUCGGGAGAAGGUACGCUCUUGAUGGUGAAGUCCCUCGCGGAUGGAGCUGACGAGAGUCGCAGAUACCAGGUGGCUGCAACUGUUUAUUAAAAACACAGCACUGUGCAAAAUCGCAAGAUGACGUAUACGGUGUGACGCCUGCCCGGUGCCGGAAGGUUAAUUGAUGGGGUUAGCGCAAGCGAAGCUCUUGAUCGAAGCCCCGGUAAACGGCGGCCGUAACUAUAACGGUCCUAAGGUAGCGAAAUUCCUUGUCGGGUAAGUUCCGACCUGCACGAAUGGCGUAAUGAUGGCCACGCUGUCUCCACCCGAGACUCAGUGAAAUUGAAAUCGCUGUGAAGAUGCAGUGUACCCGCGGCUAGACGGAAAGACCCCGUGAACCUUUACUACAGCUUGGCACUGAACAUUGAACCUACAUGUGUAGGAUAGGUGGGAGGCUAUGAAGACGUGACGCCAGUUGCGUUGGAGCCGUCCUUGAAAUACCACCCUUGUAUGUUUGAUGUUCUAACUUAGACCCAUUAUCUGGGUUGAGGACAGUGCCUGGUGGGUAGUUUGACUGGGGCGGUCUCCUCCCAAAGAGUAACGGAGGAGCACGAAGGUGGGCUAAUCACGGUUGGACAUCGUGAGGUUAGUGCAAUGGCAUAAGCCCGCUUAACUGCGAGAAUGACGGUUCGAGCAGGUGCGAAAGCAGGUCAUAGUGAUCCGGUGGUUCUGUAUGGAAGGGCCAUCGCUCAACGGAUAAAAGGUACUCCGGGGAUAACAGGCUGAUACCGCCCAAGAGUUCAUAUCGACGGCGGUGUUUGGCACCUCGAUGUCGGCUCAUCACAUCCUGGGGCUGAAGUCGGUCCCAAGGGUAUGGCUGUUCGCCAUUUAAAGUGGUACGCGAGCUGGGUUUAGAACGUCGUGAGACAGUUCGGUCCCUAUCUGCCGUGGGCGUUGGAAGAUUGAAGGGGGCUGCUCCUAGUACGAGAGGACCGGAGUGGACGAACCUCUGGUGUUCGGGUUGUGUCGCCAGACGCAUUGCCCGGUAGCUAAGUUCGGAAUUGAUAAGCGCUGAAAGCAUCUAAGCGCGAAGCGAGCCCUGAGAUGAGUCUUCCCUGACAGUUUAACUGUCCUAAAGGGUUGUUCGAGACUAGAACGUUGAUAGGCAGGGUGUGUAAGCGUUGUGAGGCGUUGAGCUAACCUGUACUAAUUGCCCGUGAGGCUUAACCAUACAACACCCAAGG
rnacentral:rRNA from 1 species